CCCUUCCACACUGUGGAAGCUUUGUUCUUUCACUGUUCGCAAUAAUCUUGCUGCUGCUCACUCUUUGGGUCUGCACUGCAUUUAAGAGCUAUAACACUCACCGUGAAGGUCUGCAGCUUCACUCCUGAGGCCAGUGAGACCAUGAACCCACCAGAAGGAAUGAACAACUCCAGACAUGCUAACUUUAUGGGCUGUAACACUCACCGCGAAGGUCUGCACCUUCACUCCUGAGGCCAGUGAGACCACAAACCCACCAGAAGGAACCAACAACUCCAGACGUGCUGCCUUUAAGAGCUGUAACACUCACCGUGAAGGUCUCCAGCUUCACUCCUGAAGUCAGCGAGAUCACGAACCCACCAGAAGGAAGAAACACCAGACACAUCUGAACAUCUGAAGGAAGAAACUCCGGACAUACCAUCUUUAAGAACUGUAACACUCACCGCGAGGGUCCACGGCCUCAUUCUUGAAGUCAGUGAGACUAAGAACCCACCAAUUCUGGACACAUUUUGGCAACCAUGAAGGGACUAUUGCCUAUCACCAAGAGGUGAGACUAUCGCCAAGUGGUGAGACUAUUGCCUAUCACCAAGUGAAAAGCAAAUUCCAAGGUAGAGUCAUCGGACGGCCCAAUGGAAGAAAGCACAAAAUACAUUGGCCAAAUGGCCAAACUAAGAAAGACUGCUCUCUACUAAAAAAGUAGAGAACACUCACUUGUUUAGCAAUAAUUAUUAUUCCCUUAUAAUAAUUACAAUACUAAUUAUUUCCCUUGGAUCUCCAGAGGUAUUUUAUUUGCCAAACCCUUAAUACCCUCUACCCCUCUUGGUUCAAGAUUGUUUACCUUCUAAAACAGAAACUGGUAGAAGUCAGCAUGUGUGUGUGACGGAAUGCAUUUGUACCUUUUCAAAUGUUUCUCCUGUAAGCUUAUGAUUCUGGUGCAGCCUCCUUGCAAGCCUGAGUUCGCUACUCAUGGGCUCCAGUCUGUGGUUGUAGCUGAGUCUUCUCACAGACAGCUGGUGUAGAAUGAGCCAACCAUGAAUUUCUACUUUGGAGAUAAGGGAAUGAAACAUAACCAUGAGAAUUUUGAUAGCCACAGGGAGACACAAUAAUCAUCUGCAUUUUUCGAAAGACUACUACAUUCUAUCAAAUAAUAAAAUUUCUUCUUCUUUUUUUUUGAGACGGAGUCUCGCUCUGUCGCCGAGGCUGGAGUGCUGGAGUGCUGGAGUGCAGUGGCGCUAUCUCGGCUCACUGCAAGCUCCACCUCCCGGGUUCACGC
rnacentral:lncRNA from 10 species